rnacentral:rRNA from 1 species
AGAGUGCUUAACGCAGGCAUUGGCCUGAAUAGUGGUGCAUGGAAUAAUGGAAUAGGACCUCGGUUCUAUUUUGUUGGUUUUCGGAGCAGAGGUAAUGAUUAAGAGGGACAGACGGGGGCAUUCGUACUGCUACGUUAGAGGUGAAAUUCUUGGAUCGUAGCAUGACGAACUACUG